rfam:Cryptococcus pinus CBS 10737 unplaced genomic scaffold supercont1.1, whole genome shotgun sequence.
GGCCGGAUGGUGUAGUUGGUUAUCACGUUUCCUUUACAACUUAGCUUGUGAUCGGAAAAGGUCGGGGGUUCGAACCCCCCUCUAGUCA